UAAGAGAAGUUUUUUAAUAAACGAAGUGAAUUGAAAUAUCUUAGUAACUUCAGGAAAAGAAAUCAAAAGAGAUUCUAUAAGUAGCGUGAGUGAAAGUAGAGGAGCCUAUUUAAUAAUAAGUAAAAUGGUUUAGAAACUGUUUGAAUUUAUUGUCUGAUCCCUGUAAGGGAAAGGGCCCGGGGAACCUUCCUCAAAGGCUAAAUAUAAUACAUAAGCGAUAGUGAAUAGUAUCGUGAGAUAAUGAUUAGAAUUAGUAGUUUUAUAAGCAGUUCGAGCCAAAGUGAGAACGUACCUUUUGCAUAAUGGGUCACCAAGUUAACAUUAGAUGCGAGUGAAAGCGUAGGUAAACCAAUCGUUAAAAUAACGAAGAGUGUCUAAAGUUAGACCCGAAGCCUGGUGAUUUUACCAUAAUCAGGAUUAUAAAAGUCCGAACGGGUUAUCGUUGUAAAGAUAUCCGAAGAAUUAUGGUAGGUAGUGAAAGACAACACUGACUAGGAUAGCUGGUUUUCUGCGAAACCUAUAACAGUAGGCAAUUUGAGUAACAUCUUAGCAGGUACAGAAUUUAAUCUCAGACAAGAUGUUCUAAUUUUAGUUCGGCCACGAACUAAAACAACAUGUUGAUUUGUAUAUAUCGGGGGAUCGUGAAGAUUUUAUCGGUGAGUAUGUAGACUCGGAAUGGCAAAGAUGGAUCUUGAAUUAUCAGACAUAGAAUGAUAAGGUUGUAUGUCAAAAGGGAAACAGCCCAGAACAAGAGUUAAGGUUCCAAAAUUAUUAGUUAAGUGAAAUUAAGAAGGUUAUUAUUAAAGUCGACAAGGAGAUGGGCUUAGAAGCAGCCAAAUUUUGAAGACCUCGUAACAGAGCGCUUGUUAAGUUUUAAAAGCAUCGAAAAUUUAACGGAUCUAAACAAUAUACCGACACCUUGUCCAUAUUUUACUAUAUAUAUAUAUUAUUGUAAUUUAGUGGGGUAGCAGAACGUUGAAUUAAAUUAGGAUAUUUCUUCUGUGAAGAAAUAUAUAACAAACAAUUCAAGUGAGAAUGGUGACAUGAGUAACGAAUAAGAAGGACAUUUUACCGAAAAAGCCUAGUAAAAUCUCUACGUAUCAUAACUAUGGUAAAUAGGGAUUCCCUCCCUCUGGGAGGGGUCGCCUCUUUCUUUAAAGAGUAGUAAUCUUCUUUAUGAUGAUUACUUCGAGUUACUAGGUAUUUUAGUAAGUACUAAAUCCUCCGCCUAAAGCUUAUGGAUGGAAAAAUAUGCCCCUUAAAGUAACGGCCUCUAAGUUAUAAAUCUAAAGGUUUAAACGAUGAGAAAAUCUUUUUUACUAAAUGACAACACUUACAAGUGAUAAGUGUGCUGGAAAAAAUAGUAAUAUAUUUUGUUAAGUAUAUACAAUAAACUAAAGAGAUGAGUAUAGAAAGAGAAGAUGAAAAAAUAACCGUACCUAGAAACUAAAACAAGUAAGCUAGUAGAGAAUACGAAGGCGUAAAUGAGCUAACAAUCAUAAAGGAACUCGGCAAACUAACUACCGUAACUUCGGGAUAAGGAGAGCUCAUUAGUCCUGAUUAAUAUCGGGUAAAAAGGAAGAAGCAUAAAAUAGUGUUGUACGACUGUUUAAUUAAAACACAGCACUUUGCUAAAAGAUUAAAAAUCGAAGUAUUGAGUGUGAUGUCUGCCCGAUGCCGGCUGGUUAACGAAUAUAACUAAAUUGAUCAAUAAAUUUGGUGUUGAAGGAACCCCCGGUUAAUGGCGGCCUUAACGUGAGGGUCCUAAGGUAGCGAAAUGCCUUGGCCGUUAAAUGCGGUCUUGCAUGAAUGAUGUAACGAUACAACAGCUGUCUCUAUGAUUGACUCAGUGAAAUUGGAAUAACUGUGCAGAUACAGUUUACCUCUAGUUAGACGAGAAGACCCUAUGCAGCUUUACUGUUACUAAUUAUAGGGUAUGAUGAAUUAAUUUUCAGAUUAUAAGGUACAUUGAUUCAAUAAAAAUGAAAAUCCUUUAUUUUCACGUCAUACUUCAGAAUUAAUUUUGGAAAUUCACCUGGCUGGAAUGGCGACUUCGUCAUUUAGGCGGGAGUGAAAGAAAAGAUUAACCUAGUCUGACAUAUAAGUAGCCUUAGGUAAGGAAUAUAUUGUUAGGAGACAGUUUAUGUGGGGCACAGACCCCUUAAAGAGUAAAAGGGAGUGUCUAAAAUUUAUUUGUUAUAAAAUUUAUAACGUUGUUUGUGGUUUUAUGUAGUUUUACUAUAUUUAAUCUUAUGAAAUUCACUUUAUCUACCCUUGUUGUAGAUACGGAUGGAUCUAAGGUACGAUUUUCACUAUGGUGAAAGUAGCGGUAUAGAAAAAAAUAUUAUGAAUAGCGACGUCGUCGCUAUUCUAAUGUUUUUGGAGUUAUUAGGUGACUGGUCGGGAACCCCCCCCCGCUCUUAAUAAUAAUGAUAAAUACUUGAAAAGCUCAACGGCUAAUUCGUGCCAUACUGUUUGAUUAACAACAAAUCUUACAGUUGCGUAAGCAGGGCAUAGGAUCACAAGAUGCAAAAAGGAAAGAUCUUGGAUUAUUGGAAAAGCUACGCUAGGGAUGUUUGUCCUUCAAUAUUUUUAAACCCUCGACCUAGCCCCAGGGCCGUAAGGCCGGAGGCGAAAGAGAGAAAAGUUAAAAUUAUUGAGAAUAUAUUGAACCAUUUUGUGAAAAAUGGAAAUAAAAUUUAUUAUGAUAACAUGUAGAACAGGCUAAUUUGCGCAAGAGUGUACAAAAUGAGUGCGCGGUUUGGCACCUCGAUGUCGGCUUAACUUAUCCUCAUGGAUGCAGAAACUAUGUAGGGUACGACUGUUCGUCGAUUAAAAAGUUACAUGAGCUGGGUUAAAUACGUCGUGAGACAGUAUGGUUUCUAUCUUCUAGAGGGAAUUUGAAUAAAAUAAGGAUUAACCUUUGUACGAAAGGAACAGGAAAAACUUAACCCAAAAGGUUAGGUUAUAUUAAUUGUUAACCUCUGGUUUACCUGUUGUUUAUAAGCCCAAUAUUAAUUUAUUCUAAAAAUUUAUGAUUUUUAUAAGGGAUGUUACUUACACUAAAGUAAAUAUAUAUUAUAGGCACGGCAGGAAAGCUAAGUUAGUUAAAGAUAAGUGCUGAAAGCAUAUAGGCACGAAGCUUACCUUAAGAUAUUUCUAAUUCACGUAAUAUACUAUUACGGCAUAAUAUUAAUAUUAUUGCAAUAGGCUUUGUUUGUAAUGAUCUAGAGAUCUUAAGA